AGGAAUAGUCAUCAUAACUGCGAUACUCCAGGAAAAGGAUGGUGGGAGGAAAGAGAAUUCCCAUUAUAACCUGUGAACAAGAAGGAAUUCAACUCAAUAUUUGUUUAUAUUAUGGAUUUGGUAACAAGAGCAGUGCUGCACAUCUUCCAGGUACCAGAGCACUUUUCUGACUGACGUGCAGGCCAUGGCAGCAUGCAAAAGGCAAAGACAGGCACACAGCACCCUUAAGAACAGCAAGAUACCAAAGGGAGUCUUCACCUCGGAAUAAGCAAUCUCCUCUUAUGUAUGCAGUGCACCUGGAAGCUGAGACUGCAAUGCAGACCAUGAUUAAUGUGCAGCCCAGAAUCAAAGCAAAAGGCAAACUCUAAUUUUGGCAGCUACAGCUAAAACUGGAUAAUUGCAUUGACUCCACUGGAAAAAAAAAUGGUGCUUCAUUGUCCAAGCUACAUCCUACAGCAAUUACUGAUUCUACAUCACCACUGAGCAGCUGCUAUGAUGGAACAGCUACAGCCUAAGGAAGCACAUCACCUCCAGGUUAACCCAACUGAAUCCCCGGGACUGCCGCUGAGGAGGGAGCAUGGAAAUGCAAUGGAAAAGAGCAGAGACAGAGAGACAGACAGCAGAAUGCAGAGGAACAUUAGUGACACUCACAGUGACAACACUGAAUGAGAAAAGAGUUAAGCCAUGAAGCAGAGGAAUAUGAAUUAUACAUUAACACACUACUUCACAAUCCCCACAUCUGAACCUCCCUGGAAUAACUGGGAGUUUUCCUUGCAGAAAUUAAUACAGGCAAUUUCAUGUAGCUGAAUUUUACUGAAUAAAAGCUUCAAAACCUCUAAGAGAGAAAAUACGACAAAUCUCACAAUGACCCUCC